rnacentral:rRNA from 1 species
UACGUAGGGGGCUAGCGUUGUCCGGAUUUAUUGGGCGUAAAGAGCGUGUAGGCGGCCAGGUAGGUCUGCUGUGAAAACUCGAGGCUCAACCUCGAGACGUCGGCGGAAACCAUCUGGCUAGAGUCCGGAAGAGGAGAGUGGAAUUCCGUGGUGUAGCGGUGAAUGCGCAGAUAUCAGGAAGAACACCCGUGGCGAAGGCGGCUCUCUGGGACGGUACUGACGCUGAGACGCGAAGCGUGGGGAGCAAACAGG